UACAGAGGUCUCAAGCGUUGUUCGGAUUCAUUGGGCGUAAAGAGCUCGUAGGCGGUGUGUCGCGUCGGCCGUGAAAACCUGCAGCUUAACUGUGGGCUUGCGGUCGAUACGGGCAUCACUGGAGUUCGGCAGGGGAGACUGGAAUUCCUGGUGUAGCGGUGAAAUGCGCAGAUAUCAGGAGGAACACCGGUGGCGAAGGCGGGUCUCUGGGCCGAUACUGACGCUGAGGAGCGAAAGCGUGGGGAGCAAACAGG
rnacentral:rRNA from 1 species